rnacentral:rRNA from 1 species
AUGAUUUGUCUGGUUAAUUCCGAGAACGAACGAUAUAAAAACCUGCUAAUUAGCGGUAAAUACAACAUAUCCUUAAGUAAAUAAAAAUAUAAAUAAAAUUAACAAAUAAGAGAAUAUAUUAGGAUGUUAUUAUAUAUAAUGUCUUUUUCCCUGUUCUUCUGGUAUGGUUUUUUUAUCCUAUUUCUUUUUUAACGUAAGAAUGUAUUUACUUGAUUGUAAAGCUUCUUAGAGGAACAUUGUGUGUCUAACACAAGGAAGUUUAAGGCAACAACAGGUCUGUGAUGUCCUUAGAUGAACUAGGCUGCACGCGUGCUACACUGAUAUAUAUAACGAGUUAUUAAAAGUAUAUCUUUGUAUAUGUAUAUUCUGUAUAUAUAUACAAAAGAUAUAAUUUUCCUCCACUGAAAAGUGUAGGUAAUCUUUAUCAAUAUAUAUCGUGAUGGGGAUAGAUUAUUGCAAUUAUUAAUCUUGAACGAGGAAUGCCUAGUAAGCAUGAUUCAUCAGAUUGUGCUGACUACGUCCCUGCCCUUUGUACACACCGCC